GCUACACAUGCAGUCGAACGAUGAAGCCGGAGCUUGCUCUGGUGGAUUAGUGGCGAACGGGUGAGUAACACGUGAGUAACCUGCCCUUGACUCUGGAAUAAGCGUUGGAAACGACGUCUAAUACCGGAUACGAGCUUCCGCCGCAUGGUGAGGAGCUGGAAAGAAUUUCGGUCAAGGAUGGACUCGCGGCCUAUCAGGUAGUUGGUGAGGUAAUGGCUCACCAAGCCUACGACGGGUAGCCGGCCUGAGAGGGUGACCGGCCACACUGGAACUGAGACACGGUCCAGACUCCUACGGGAGGCAGCAGUGGGGAAUAUUGCACAAUGGGCGCAAGCCUGAUGCAGCAACGCCGCGUGAGGGACGACGGCCUUCGGGUUGUAAACCUCUUUUAGUAGGGAAGAAGCGAAAGUGACGGUACCUGCAGAAAAAGCACCGGCUAACUACGUGCCAGCAGCCGCGGUAAUACGUAGGGUGCAAGCGUUAUCCGGAAUUAUUGGGCGUAAAGAGCUCGUAGGCGGUUUGUCGCGUCUGCUGUGAAAACUGGGGGCUCAACCCCCA
rnacentral:rRNA from 1 species